UUGAAGCGCACGUCAAAGAUCAAACCAACCCACUUUGUGGAGUCUUGGUGAUUCAUAGUAACCGAACGGAUCGCAGUUGGCUUCGGCCCGCGAUGGAUCUUUCAAGUUUCUGACCUAUCAGCUUUCGACGGUAGGGUAUUGGCCUACCGUGGCAGUGACGGGUAACGGGGAAUUAGGGUUCGAUUCCGGAGAGGGAGCCUGAGAAACGGCUACCACAUCUAAGGAAGGCAGCAGGCGCGCAAAUUACCCAAUGAAAACAGUUUCGAGGUAGUGACGAGAAAUAACAAUACAGGGCAUUUUAUGCUCUGUAAUUGGAAUGAUGGGAAUGUAAAACCCUUCCAGAGUAACAAUUGGAGGGCAAGUCUGGUGCCAGCAGCCGCGGUAAUUCCAGCUCCAAUAGUGUAUAUUAGAGUUGUUGCAGUUAAAAAGCUCGUAGUUGGAUUUCUGUCGUGGUCAUCCGGCGCCGCCUGUAUGGGUGUGCACCUGGUUUGCCCGCGGCUUUCUUUCGGUAGCCCUCCGCGCUUAAUUGCGUGUGUGGGUGUUCCGGAACUUUUACUUUGAGAAAAAUAGAGUGUUUCAAGCAGGCUUGUCGCCCUGAAUACUUCAGCAUGGAAUAAUAAGAUAGGACCUUGGUUCUAUUUUGUUGGUUUCUAGGACCAAGGUAAUGAUUAAUAGGGACAGUUGGGGGCAUUCGUAUUUAACUGUCAGAGGUGAAAUUCUUAGAUUUGUUAAAGACGAACUACUGCGAAAGCAUUUGCCAAGGAUGUUUUCAUUAAUCAAGAACGACAGUAGGGGGUUGAAAGACGAUAAAAGCAAGGGGGG
rnacentral:rRNA from 1 species